AUCAAUUGAUCGAACGAGAUUCGU
rnacentral:siRNA from 1 species